CAUAUGCUCGUCUCAAAGAUUAAGCCAUGCAAGUCUCAGUGCAAGCAAUGUCAAAGUGAAACCGCAAACGGCUCAUUAUAUCAGCUUUGGUUCCUUGGAUCUUGGUCUACGGAGUUGAUUCCCCGUAGGUGGACAACUGUGGCAAUUCUAGAGCUAAUACAUGCAACCAAGUUCCCAGCCGGCGACGGCGGGGAACGCUCUUAUUAGAUCAAAACCGACGGGAUGUCCCUUCCCACUGUCAGGCUUUCGUCUGGCAGUCCUAAAGGAGGGGCUCCGGUUGUUCUUGGUGACUCUGAAUAGACUCGUAGCGGAUCGCGAGGGACCACACAGCAUAAAUUUGUUUGUUACUGCCAUCGACUUGUCUUACAAGUGUCUGCCUUAUCAACUGUCGAUGGUAGGUAACAAGCUUACCAUGGUUAUCACGGGUGACGGGGAAUCAGGGUUCGAUUCCGGAGAGGGAGCCUGAGAAAUUGCUACCACAUCUAAGGAAGGCAGCAGGCGCGCAACUUACCCACUCCCAGCCCGGGGAGGUAGUGACGAAAAAUAACGAUGCGGGACUCAUCCGAGGCCCCGUAAUCGGAAUGGGUACACUUUAAACCCUUUAACAAGUACCAAUUGAAGGGCAAGCCUGGUGCCAGCAGCUGCGGUAACUCCAGCUUCAAUAGCGUAUAUUAAAGUUGUUGCGGUUAAAAAGCUCGUAGUCGGCAGUGUGUCCCGCUCCGCCGGUUCACAGCUCGACUGUGUCUAACUGGUCGUGGAAGUGCGGACGUCCUGCCGGCGGCCCGACGGCGCGUUGUUGUAGAGUCGUAUGGAUUCGGUAUGUGCGGCGCCUUGUGUAGGUGAACGGGUGCGCGGGUCAAACCGCGUUCUCUUCUCUCUGCGCUCGGACGUCCGUACACACCACCGUCGUCUCUUUAGCGCGACCGAAAGGCCCCACAAAUUUAAAUGCUGCCCUAACGCGGUGCUCUUAACCGAGUGUCUCGGAGGGCCGGCAAGUUUACUUUGAACAAAUCAAAGUGCUCAACGCAGGCAAACAUACGCUCGAAUGAAUUUUGCAUGGAAUAAUGGAAUAGGAUCUCGGUCCUAGUUUGUUGGUUUUCUUUUUGGAAUGUCCGAGAUAAUGAUCAAUAGGGACGGACGGGGGCAUUCGUAUUGCGACGUUAGAGGUGAAAUUCUUGGAUCGUCGCACGACGUUCCAAAGCGAAAGCAUUUGCCAAGGAUGUUUUCACUGAUCAAGAACGAAAGUUAGAGGUUCGAAGGCGAUCAGAUACCGCCCUAGUUCUAACCAUAAACUAUGCCAGCCAGCAAUCCGCCGGAGUUCCUCCGAUGACUCGGCGGGCAGCCCCCGGGAAACCGAAGCCUUUGGGUUCCGGGGGAAGUAUGGUUGCAAAGCUGAAACUUAAAGGAAUUGACGGAAGGGUACCACCAGGAGUGGAACCUGCGGCUUAAUUUGACUCAACACGGGAAAACUCACCAGGCCCAGACACCGGGAGGAUUGACAGAUUGAGAGCUCUUUCUUGAUUCGGUGGGUGGUGGUGCAUGGCCGUUCUUAGUUGGUGGAGCGAUUUGUCUGGUUAAUUCCGAUAACGAACGAGACUCUAGCCUACUAACUAGUCGGAAUUUUCCUGGCAUCCUUCGCCGCUGCCAGCGACGAACAUACUCUUCUUAGAGGGACAGGCGGUCUUGAGCCGCACGAGAUUGAGCAAUAACAGGUCUGGUAUGCCCUUAGAUGUUCUGGGCCGCACGCGCGUUACACUGAAGGAGUCAGCGUGUUGCUUACCUUGUCCGAGAGGACCGGGUAACCCGCUCAAACUCCUUCGUGCUUGGGAUUGGGGCUUGCAAUUGUUCCCCAUGAACGAGGAAUUCCCAGUAAGCGCGAGUCAUAAGCUCGCGUUGACUACGUCCCUGCCCUUUGUACACACCGCCCGUCGCUACUACCGAUUGAAUGAGUUAGUGAGGACUUCGGACUCGCAUGGGGGCGGAAUUUGGUUCUAUGGAUCUGUCCGCACACCCGUUGUGAGGAAGUUGGCCGAACUUGCUUAUUUAGAGGAAGUAAAAGUCGUAACA
rnacentral:rRNA from 1 species